CAGUUCGGAUUGUAGUCUGCAACUCGACUACAUGAAGCUGGAAUCGCUAGUAAUCGCGAAUCAGAAUGUCGCGGUGAAUACGUUCCCGGGUCUUGUACACACCGCCCGUCACACCAUGGGAGUCGGAAAUGCCCGAAGCCGGUGACCCAACCAAAAGGAGGGAGCCGUCGAAGGCAGGUCUGAUAACUGGGGUGAAGUCGUAACAAGGUAGC
rnacentral:rRNA from 1 species